UGUGAACAUACCUUAAUGUUGCCUCGGCGGAUCAGCCCGCGCCCCGUAAAACGGGACGGCCCGCCAGAGGACCCAAACUCUAAUGUUUCUUAUUGUAACUUCUGAGUAAAACAAACAAAUAAAUCAAAACUUUCAACAACGGAUCUCUUGGUUCUGGCAUCGAUGAAGAACGCAGCAAAAUGCGAUAAGUAAUGUGAAUUGCAGAAUUCAGUGAAUCAUCGAAUCUUUGAACGCACAUUGCGCCCGCUGGUAUUCCGGCGGGCAUGCCUGUUCGAGCGUCAUUUCAACCCUCAAGCCCCCGGGUUUGGUGUUGGGGAUCGGCUCUGCCCUUCUGGGCGGUGCCGCCCCCGAAAUACAUUGGCGGUCUCGCUGCAGCCUCCAUUGCGUAGUAGCUAACACCUCGCAACUGGAACGCGGCGCGGCCAUGCCGUAAAACCCCAACUUCUGAAUGUUGACCUCGGAUCAGGUAGGAAUACCCGCUGAACUUAAGCAUAUCAAAAGCCCCGGAGGAAA
rnacentral:rRNA from 1 species